UCACUCUUAAUCUCUCACUCUGAACACACACACACACACACACUAACACAGUGGCACGCAGCAGGUCAAAUCUCACUCUUAAUCUCUCACACUGACCACACACACUAACACAGUGGCACGCAGCAGGUCAAAUCUCACUCUUAAUCUCUCACACUGACCACACACACUAACACAGUGGCACGCAGCAGGUCAAAUCUCAUUCUUAAUCUCUCACACUGAACACACACACUAACACAGUGGCACGCAGCAGGUCAAAUCUCAUUCUUAAUCUCUCACACUGACCACACACACUAACACAGUGGCACGCAGCAGGUCAAAUCUCACUCUUAAUCUCUCACACUGAACACACACACUAACACAGUGGCACACAGCAGGUCAAAUCUCACUCUUAAUCUCUCACACUGACCACACACACUAACACAGUGGCACGCAGCAGGUCAAAUCUCAUUCUUAAUCUCUCACACUGAACACACACACUAACACAGUGGCACGCAGCAGGUCAAAUCUCACUCUUAAUCUCUCACACUGACCACACACACUAACACAGUGGCACGCAGCAGGUCAAAUCUCAUUCUUAAUCUCUCACACUGAACACACACACUAACACAGUGGCACGCAGCAGGUCAAAUCUCACUCUUAAUCUCUCACACUGACCACACACACUAACACAGUGGCACGCAGCAGGUCAAAUCUCAUUCUUAAUCUCUCACACUGACCACACACACUAACACAGUGGCACGCAGCAGGUCAAAUCUCAUUCUUAAUCUCUCACACUGAACACACACACUAACACAGUGGCACGCAGCAGGUCAAAUCUCAUUCUUAAUCUCUCACACUGAACACACACACACUAACAAAGUGGCACGCAGCAGGUCAAAUCUCAUUCUUAAUCUCUCACACUGAACACACACACACUAACACAGUGGCACGCAGCAGGUCAAAUCUCACUCUUAAUCUCUCACACUGAACACACACACACUAACACAGUGGCACGCAGCAGGUCAAAUCUCACUCUUAAUCUCUCACACUGAACACACACACACUAACACAGUGGCACGCAGCAGGUCAAAUCUCAUUCUUAAUCUCUCACACUGAACACACACACACUAACACAGUGGCACGCAGCAGGUCAGAUCUCACUCUUAAUCUCUCACACUGAACACACACACACACUAACACAGUGGCACGCAGCAGGUCAAAUCUCAUUCUUAAUCUCUCACACUGAACACACACACUAACACAGUGGCACGCAGCAGGUCAAAUCUCACUCUUAAUCUCUCACACUGAACACACACACUAACACAGUGGCACGCAGCAGGUCAAAUCUCAUUCUUAAUCUCUCACACUGAACACACACACACUAACAAAGUGGCACGCAGCAGGUCAAAUCUCACUCUUAAUCUCUCACACUGAACACACACACACUAACAAAGUGGCACGCAGCAGGUCAAAUCUCAUUCUUAAUCUCUCACACUGAACACACACACACUAACACAGUGGCACGCAGCAGGUCAAAUCUCACUCUUAAUCUCUCACACUGAACACACACACACUAACACAGUGGCACGCAGCAGGUCAAAUCUCAUUCUUAAUCUCUCACACUGAACACACACACACACACUAACACAGUGGCACGCAGCAGGUCAGAUCUCACUCUUAAUCUCUCACACUGAACACACACACACACUAACACAGUGGCACGCAGCAGGUCAAAUCUCAUUCUUAAUCUCUCACACUGAACACACACACUAACACAGUGGCACGCAGCAGGUCAAAUCUCACUCUUAAUCUCUCACACUGAACACACACACACCCUACACAACUUCAGUGGUCGUUCUACAGGGACAGAAGCUGAUGUAUAUUUCAUACAUAAAGAGCUGAACUAAGUACUACUUAGCCUUGCUAAAUAAUAUAGCGUUACUAUUGUUUCGAUAGAGGAGGGUUUAUUUUUUUAACUGUGAUAAUGUAUGGGAGAGGACGGUGUUUGUAGAAAGUGGUUUUGCAAUAAGCUUUAAAAAAUCAUGUUUUGUUUGUUUUUUUGUCUUAUUUUUGCUAACAGACAAACACAAAAUGUAUGCAGUGUUUUUCCACUGAAUGAAAACACACAGUGACACGUGCAGUACAGAUCAGCACCGUGUGUUAAAGGCCACGCGUGUCUACACCUGAAUGGGAGAGUUUGGAACCGACCACUGAGACACAACACAAGGCUCUCUCUGUGUUUCCUUCCCGUAGUACGCCUCUGUCUGUGGCGCUCUACUGCAGCAUAACGGUCGCUGUUUGGUCUCUGUUUUAGGCCAACAACUUAUUGGAGCCCGUUCCCAGUCGGAUGAGAAGAGUUCCUCCAGGUAGAUCAGAUGAGAGGUGGUUUCACACCAGACGCUCUACUCUACCUACUGUGAGACGUUCAGAUGAGAGGUGGUUUCACACCAGACGCUCUACUCUACCUACUGUGAGACGUUCAGAUGAGACAGAUGGAAUGAUCAAAUGUGUCAAGUAUGAACCCAGGCUUCUUUGAUCUACUUUGUGGUGAACUGUGAUCCCUUAACAAAUGAACAGCCUAAAGAAGACGUUGCUCAUCUCAAAGCCGGGGAUCUAAACCGUCUUCGGCGAGCCAAACGACAAUUUAAAAAAAUACUCAAUAGCCCAUCGAUGUGUUGACUUUCUUCAGAAGACUGUAUCAAACACAUCGCGUAACGCCACUAAUCUACAGGUUGAUCAGGAUUGGUUCAUUUGAUUUAGUGCCAUUGCAAAUUCCUUGAUACCGUAUCAAUCUUGAGUCUCCUGACAGCAGUUCAGCAAAGAUCAAAGCAACUUCUUACAUCUUGUGCCAAUGUUGUCUUUUUUUAAGUGCCUGCCCCCCACACAAUUGGAAUGGUCUUUAUUUCUAUGAUCAUAUUUUGCUUUGAGUUCCCGUUCUAAGCAUGGUUAGAAGUGUUCAGGGUUUUCCAAUUCCUCUCUCUCUCUCUCUCUCUCUCUCUCUCUCUCUCUCUCUCUCUCUCUCUCUCUCUCUCUCUCUCUCUCUCUCUGUCUCUCUCUCUGUCUCUCUCUCUCUCUCUCUCUCUCUCUCUCUCUCUCUCUCUCUCUCUCUCUCUCUCUCUCUCUCUCUCUCUCUCUCUCUCUCUCUCUCUCUCUCUCUGUUUUUCUCUCGCUCUGUAUCUUCAAUGACAGCAGUUGUUGAACCUCUGUCUCGCCAGUGUUCUCUCUGGUCUAUAAUGUGUCAAAUGGAACUCAUGCUGUAAAGUCGAUACUAUAAUUUUAGCACUUAAUGUGAAACUUGCAUUUUAGCUGCUGAGACGGCGUGGUGUGAAUAAAAUAGAGUAACCGUUUUCAUUAUUUAAGUAGUUACGCAAACAAAGUUAUUUAAGUUCUCUACAAUUGUUUUUGCCGCUGUAUGUGAGGAUUUUGAUCAUGUAUUGUAAAUAAAACCUAGGGCUAUCUUUGUUUCUUUUCAGAAAUAUCUAUGUCUAUUAAAGUUUAUAGCAUGUCUGAAAA